rnacentral:rRNA from 1 species
AGUGAACGCUGGCGGUAGGCCUAACACAUGCAAGUCGAACGGCAGCACAGUAAGAGCUUGCUCUUACGGGUGGCGAGUGGCGGUCGGGUGAGGAAUACAUCGGAAUCUACUUUUUCGUGGGGGAUAACGUAGGGAAACUUACGCUAAUACCGCAUACGGCCUACGGGUGAAAGCUGGGGAUCUUCGGACCUUGCGCGAUUGAAUGAGCCGAUGUCGGAUUAGCUAGUUGGCGGGGUAAAGGCCCACCAAGGCGACGAUCCGUAGCUGGUCUGAGAGGAUGAUCAGCCACACUGGAACUGAGACACGGUCCAGACUCCUACGGGAGGCAGCAGUGGGGAAUAUUGGACAAUGGGCGCAAGCCUGAUCCAGCCAUACCGCGUGGGUGAAGAAGGCCUUCGGGUUGUAAAGCCCUUUUGUUGGGAAAGAAAAGCAGCAGGUUAAUACCCCGCUGUUCUGACGGUACCCAAAGAAUAAGCACCGGCUAACUUCGUG